GCAGCACAGCCGUGCUGCAGGGCCCAGGUGCCUCGGGAGCCCUUCAGAGGGCCCUGGGUGAACAGGGACAGUGGCCUGGCGUUGUCACCUGCGGGAGCGCCCCCUCAGGGCUGCCGCGGAGGCACGGCACGGCACGGCACGGCAUCUGCGCAUCCCAGCUCCUCCAAAACGGGCAGGCCCCAGCUGCCCGCAGCUCUGGGCUCUGGGGAGGCAGUGUUGGCCGUUCCUGCUCUAAGCCUGGCCCAAUUCCUCCUCUGCCUCCCCGCCAGGAAAAAGGCACUGGAAACACAGGAGAGAAGGCUACUGAAGAUAUAGAUGAUAACUGUAGGCUAGCGGGCUUGCUUCAGUUUUCAUUAAGAGUGAAUUAAAGUAUUCCUUUAAUAAGCAUUGGAGUCAACCCAUCAUGAAGAUUGUUUGAAUAUUCCAUCCCUGCCACGUGGGCAAGAGUCAGUGGGUAGUUUGUCCUGAGAUCAAGCCCCACCCUUUCUCUUCAGAAAUCCCCCUUACUGUGUUACUAAACUGCCCGGAUGUCUCCCAAAAGCUACUAUAAACUCUUGCAUCUGCAGAGAAAGCAACAACUUCUUCCACUAUGCAGGAGGAUGCUGACAACUCAAUUUUGGUCACUUGCUGCCAAGCUCAACUUGCAACAGUCAACUUACGUCAGACUGGAAGGGGAUUUUUUAUGUCCAAGCUUGCCACUUGCAAAUCCUCUCAGUUGAUCCUCUAAUUGAUGUGGAUCUGUGAACCUACAAGAUAAGAAAUGCUGCUAAUGAGAGAAGAGGAUAAUUCUGAAAUGCUUAGUCACUUUUAUACUUUUUUUACUGAUCCUGUGGAGAAAUGACAGAAUCCUGUAGUUAACAUGAUUCAAAAGAUAAGGGGGAGGAGAAGGUGGAGAAAGAUUAUAUAAAAUGUAUUUAUAUUGCUUCUACAACUCAAUUGUUUUCAGUAUAGUGUCACGCUCUCAGUGUGGGGGAAUUCUGCAUGUGUCAUGAUUCUACAGAUGUUCUUGCACACUACAUGCAGCUGCACUAUUUGUCACGGGCAAAUUUAAUAACAAGAUGCUUGUUAGGUGUUCCCUUUAAUCUUAGUUCACAAAAACAUAGAGGGGAAAAACCCACUACCUGAUAGCUUGCUUGCUUCCCUUCUUUAUAUAGCCUUUUAAAAGACUUUAAAACAAAUAUUGGAAACACCCAUCUUUUGUACUAAAUUCUGUAACACCUGCAAUUACAGCUCUAUUACCUUUGCUAGAAUGAUCUUGUUCUUUCUAAUGUUUAAAAUGCUAAUUAAGUAAUUUUAAGUACCUGAAGAGGUCAUAUUCCUAACAGUGGGGGUUCCUCAAGAGCUUGAUCCUUCAAAAGGGAGAAUAAUUUCUGCUAAGUCCUGAGUAUCCUCUGUUCUCAGUGACUUGCAGAUGAAACUCAGAAACACGCCAUACAGCAGCACGACAGAGCCAAGUGCUGCCAGAAAUUUUACAGAGUCAAACUCAGAAGAGCUUUCCUACUCUCGUCAUUUUAAAACCCUGGAUCCUCUCCUCUAGGUACUGUCUGUCCUAAACUUUGUUGGUCCAAGGGUAGUGUGUUAACUAGCUCUUCAGAGGGGACUAUACCCUUGGGUUCCAGCUUCUUCCAAAUGUAUCCAGGAAGCAGAAGAAGAUUUUGAAAAUAGAAAAGAGAAGAAAAAUUAAAAGGAGGGGGGGGGGGGGGGUGUCACCUGGAAAGCCUAUAACAUGCUGAAACAUGGGUUGUCUAGUUAGUGGCAAGUAAGGUAACCAAAGAACUGGCAGUGCAAGGAGAAAUUUGGACUUCAGAGGAACACAACGGAAAGCUGCAGUAGAAGUACAUCCAACUAAACCAAACAGGACAAAACCCAAAAAGAAGGUACAGCUGUAGAAGACAUAAAGGGUGUUACACCAUCAGUAAGUGUAUGAACAAAAAACAGAUGUUAUAAAUGAAAAAUUUUAAUUUAAUUACUGCAUCUCCUACAGUACAAGAAAGACAUUAACCUACUGGCACU